rnacentral:tRNA from 1 species
GGAAGAGUGGCCGAGCGGUUUAAGGUGCUGCUCUCGAAAAGCAGUGUAUCGGAAACGGUACCGAGGGUUCGAAUCCCUCCUCUUCCGCCA